GAUGAACGCUGGCGGCGUGCCUAAUACAUGCAAGUCGAGCGAACAGACGAGGAGCUUGCUCCUCUGACGUUAGCGGCGGACGGGUGAGUAACACGUGGAUAACCUACCUAUAAGACUGGGAUAACUUCGGGAAACCGGAGCUAAUACCGGAUAACAUGUUGAACCGCAUGGUUCAAAAGUGAAAGACGGUCUUGCUGUCACUUAUAGAUGGAUCCGCGCCGCAUUAGCUAGUUGGUAAGGUAACGGCUUACCAAGGCAACGAUGCAUAGCCGACCUGAGAGGGUGAUCGGCCACACUGGAACUGAGACACGGUCCAGACUCCUACGGGAGGCAGCAGUAGGGAAUCUUCCGCAAUGGGCGAAAGCCUGACGGAGCAACGCCGCGUGAGUGAAGAAGGUCUUCGGAUCGUAAAACUCUGUUAUUAGGGAAGAACAAAUGUGUAAGUAACUGUGCACGUCUUGACGGUACCUAAUCAGAAAGCCACGGCUAACUACGUG
rnacentral:rRNA from 1 species